rnacentral:rRNA from 1 species
ACGCUGGCGGCAUGCCUAACACAUGCAAGUCGAACGAAGGCUUCGGCCUUAGUGGCGCACGGGUGCGUAACGCGUGGGAACCUGCCCCCUCGGUUCGGAAUAACAGUUAGAAAUGACUGCUAAUACCGGAUGAUGACUUCGGUCCAAAGAUUUAUCGCCGAGGGAUGGGCCCGCGUAGGAUUAGCUAGUUGGUGGGUAAAGGCCUACCAAGGCGACGAUCCUUAGCUGGUCUGAGAGGAUGAUCAGCCACACUGGGACUGAGACACAGCCCAGACUCCUACGGGAGGCAGCAGUGGGGAAUAUUGGACAAUGGGCGAAAGCCUGAUCCAGCAAUGCCGCGUGAGUGAUGAAGGCCUUAGGGUUGUAAAGCUCUUUUACCAGGGAUGAUAAUGACAGUACCUGGAGAAUAAGCUCCGGCUAACUCCGUG